rnacentral:rRNA from 1 species
AUGCGGGCUGAAGAUCCUGAGUUCAAGUACAGUGUGCAAGUUGAUAGUGAUGGCCGAGUCAAGACUUUGAUGUGGACAACAGGGAGAAGCAUAGAGCAAUUUAAGUGUUUUGGAGAUGCUGUCACGUUUGAUACGACAUACAAAACUAAUCAAUACGACAUGCCAUUUGGCCUCUUCGUUGGUGUCAACAAUCACUUCCAAAGCAUUAUAUUUGGAGGGGUGCUGAUGAGCGAUGAGAAAAUCGACACUUCCAAGUGGAUAUUCAUAGAGUUCAUUCAGAUGAUAGGAGCGCCACAACCACGCACAAUGCUCACAGGUAAAUAA